rnacentral:rRNA from 1 species
UCGGGGGGACGCUUACCACUUUGUGGUUCAUGACUGGGGUGAAGUCGUAACAAGGUAGCGCUAGGGGAACCUGGCGCUGGAUCACCUCCUUAAACGAUGAU